CUGGCUCAGAAUGAACGCUGGCGGCAUGGAUUAGGCAUGCAAGUCGUACGAGAAUCCUCUCUUCGGAGAGGAGGACAGUGGCGAAAGGGUGAGUAACACGUGAGUAUCUACCUCCAGGUCGGGAACAGCCCGCGGAAACGCGGAUUAAUGCCCGAUGGUCCCUUCGGGGUAAAGAGGAAUCGCCCGGAGACGAGCUCGCGGCCCAUCAGCUUGUUGGCGGGGUAACGGCCCACCAAGGCGACGACGGGUAGGUGGUCUGAGAGGAUGGUCACCCACACUGGGACUGAGAUACUGCCCAGACUCCUACGGGAGGCUGCAGUCGAGAAUCAUCCGCAAUGGGCGAAAGCCUGACGGUGCAAUGCCGCGUGGGGGAUGAAGGCCUUCGGGUCGUAAACCCCUGUCAGAGGGGACGAAAAACAUGACGGUACCCUCAGAGGAAGCCACGGCUAACUACGUGCCAGCAGCCGCGGUAAUACGUAGGUGGCGAGCGUUAUUCGGAUUUACUGGGCGUAAAGGGUCCGCAGGGGGUUUGCCGAGUCCGAUGUGAAAGUCCGCAGCUCAACUGCGGAACUGCGUCGGAUACUGGUGAACUUGAGUGCGCGAAGGGCGAGCGGAAUUCCAGGUGUAGCGGUGGAAUGCGUAGAUAUCUGGAAGAACACCGGCGGCGAAAGCGGCUCGCUGGCGCGCCACUGACCCUCAUGGACGAAAGCGUGGGGAGCGAACAGGAUUAGAUACCCUGGUAGUCCACGCUGUAAACGGUGCAGACUCGAUGCGGGGGGCGGUCCCCUCCGUGUCUAAGCCAACGCGUUAAGUCUGCCGCCUGGGGACUACGGCCGCAAGGCUAAAACUCAAAGGAACUGACGGGGGCCCGCACAAGCGGUGGAGCAUGUGGCUUAAUUCGAGGCAACGCGAAGAACUUACCCGGGCUUGAAUAUUCCGGACCGCCUGUGAAACAGUUUUCCUUCGGGGACCGGUAUACAGUGUGCAUGCUGUCGUCAGCUCGUGCCGUGAGUGUUCGGUUAAGUCCGGCAACGAGCGCAACCCGUAUCGUCAGU
rnacentral:rRNA from 1 species